rnacentral:rRNA from 12 species
CUGAAGAGUUUGAUCAUGGCUCAGAUUGAACGCUGGCGGCAGGCCUAACACAUGCAAGUCGAGCGGUAACAGGGGUAGCUUGCUACCCGCUGACGAGCGGCGGACGGGUGAGUAACGCGUAGGAAUCUACCCGGUAGUUGGGGAUAGCCCGGAGAAAUCCGGAUUAAUACCGAAUAAUCUCUACGGAGGAAAGGGGGCUUCGGCUCUCGCUACUGGAUGAGCCUGCGUCGGAUUAGCUAGUUGGUGGGGUAAAGGCUUACCAAGGCGACGAUCCGUAGCUGGUCUGAGAGGAUGAUCAGCCACACUGGGACUGAGACACGGCCCAGACUCCUACGGGAGGCAGCAGUGGGGAAUAUUGGACAAUGGGGGCAACCCUGAUCCAGCCAUGCCGCGUGUGUGAAGAAGGCCUUCGGGUUGUAAAGCACUUUCAGUGAGGAGGAAGGGGUGAUGGUUAAUACCCAUCAUCAUUGACGUUACUCACAGAAGAAGCACCGGCUAACUCCGUGCCAGCAGCCGCGGUAAUACGGAGGGUGC